GACUCUAAUUAUCGAAUUACCACAUGACAGAUCGGCUUGCGCGGCGGAGGAUUUUAACCCCUCCUCAGGGACUAUUCUAAGAACUCGGUUCUUUUUUUCUCAAAAACAACAUAAAACAGAAAAACAUCACAUCCUUCAGGUUUCCAAGACAGCCCCUUUUAGACGCCGUUAUUUUCCCGGCUCCACCGCCCCCCGCCCCGGGCGAAAGCUGCUCUAACUGGUUUAUCAGCUCCCUGCAUCGUCUGCUCCCUCCUCCUCCACACCUUUCUUUUUCUCCUCCAGCCGGGCUCCUCAUCCCACCCUUUCUUCUUCUUCCUCCUCCUCCCCAUUCUUUCAUCCCCUCCUUAAGUUAGUUGGAGAAAUCAAAUGUCAGGACGAGCGGAAAAAUGCCACUUCCCGACUAACAGGCGGAAUCCAGCCCAGAUUUUCAGUCCUUUCUUCUUAUUCUUUCUUCCCUUUCACUAAUUUAUCCCGAUGUUAGCACAUUCUGUCUCGUUACUAGAGGACGCCUGUAGGUUGGCUACAUGAGAUCAUUACUUACUGAUCACGGUGACUCUGAAGUCUGCAACAGAAAGCGGAAUGAGAAGUUCGGAAAAGUUUUUUCUCUAAUUCUCUCUCUCUCUCUCUCUCUCUCUCUCUCUCUCUCUCUCUCUCUCUCUCUCUCUCUCCCUCCCUCUCCCUCCCUUCCUUCCCUUCCCUCCCCUCCCCCUCUCCUCUCCCUCUCUCUCAACACCCUAUUAUUCUGAAUGCUUGUUAAGAGGAAAAACACCCUUCGGUGCUCGGGUUGUGAACGUGAAGCAUCUCUCAGCUGCACAGUGACACAUUUUUUUUAAGGAGAAAAGGACUCCAGAGCUUUUUGCCAAAUGGGGGAUGGGGGAGUGGAAUGAUGUUACUGAGUGAUUAUUUUGGCUGAGAUGUGUUACUUGGUUUCUUCCUUUUUGAUCAUUUGGUGUUUAAGUAAAAUGAGGCACAGGGCUGUGUGCCUAGUGGACUGAGAAAUGCUUUUUUGAUUUGCCGGCCUAAUUAAAAAAUGAUAAAGGAUUUAAAGGAGAAGCUGGACCUCGAGUGAAGGAAGUGAGAUCCCUGGACACAUUUUUGGGGGCAGGAAAAAGAAGAGGAAAAUUGCAAGGAAAAAAAAAUUUUUUUUUCUUUACGAGAAAACCCAGAGGAGCUAAACGAAUGUCCCCUCAUCCCUCAAAGAAAGUUCAUCGGGUUUUUAAUCUCGAGAGCUCAUCUUCAGGAUGUCCGUGAACGUUUCGACUGCAGGAAAAGGUGUGGAUCCAAAUACAGUUGAUACUUAUGACAGUGGCGAUGAUUGGGAAAUCGGGGUUGGAAAUUUAAUCAUUGAUUUGGACGCCGAUUUGGAAAAGGACAGACAAAAAUUUGAGAUGAAUAAUUCCACCAACACCACUACCAACACCACUAAGGAUUGUGGAGGUCCGGCCUCCAAUGGGACCUGUUCUACCUCAGCCUUAGCUGAUGGCCUAAAAUUUGCUUCUGUUCAGCCCUCCGCUCCCCAGGGGAAUUCACACAAAGAAACCAGCAAAUCAAAAGUGAAAAGGGCUAAAACUUCUAAGGAUGCUAAUAAAUCUCUGCCUUCUGCUGCCUUGUAUGGAAUUCCCGAGAUCAGCAGCACUGGCAAGAGGCAGGAAGUCCAAGGGCGCCCUGGAGAGGCUACUGGCAUGAAUUCAGCGCUGGGUCAAAGUGUGAGCGGCGGCGGCAGCAGCAACCCAAACAGCAACGGUACCAGCACCGGGACCUCGGCUGCCACCGCGGGGGCAGGCUCCUGUGGGAAAAGCAAGGAAGAGAAGCCAGGGAAAAGCCACAGCAGCCGAGGCGCCAAGCGGGAUAAGGAUGCUGCGAGAUCCCGGAAAGAGAAACACGACCUGCUGCAGGGCCACCAGAAUGGCGGCGGAGGCCAGGCCCCCUCCGGUGGUCACCUCUAUGGCUUUGGGACCAAGAGCAAUGGAAGUGGCGCGAGCCCCUUUCACUGUGGGGGCGCUGGGAGUGGCAGCGUUGGGGCUGCAGGGGAAGUUAGCAAAACUGCUCCGGAUUCAACGCUCAUGGGAAACUCUAUGCUGGUCAAGAAGGAAGAGGAGGAGGAGGAGAGCCACAGGCGAAUCAAGAAACUGAAAACUGAGAAGGUUGACCCCCUGUUUACAGUGCCGGCACCACCGCCGCCGAUUGCCAGCAGUCUCGCACCUCAGAUUCCGCCCUCCUACUUUCCCCCAUCUUCAUCCAAUAUUGCAGCACCAGUCGAACAGCUUUUGGUUCGGACUCGGUCCGUGGGUGUCAAUACGUGUGAAGUUGGAGUAGUGACAGAGCCAGAGUGUCUUGGGCCCUGUGAACCUGGGACCAGUGUCAAUUUGGAAGGGAUCGUGUGGCAUGAAACAGAAGAAGGUGUCCUAGUGGUCAAUGUCACAUGGAGGAACAAAACCUACGUGGGGACCCUCCUAGACUGCACCAAGCACGACUGGGCCCCUCCCCGGUUUUGCGAAUCACCGACAAGUGACCUGGAAAUGCGAGGGGGCCGGGGCAGAGGGAAGAGAGCGAGGUCUGCCGCGGCUGCCCCAGGCUCCGAGGUCAGCUUCACCGAGUCCAGAGGGCUGCAGAGCAAGAACAGAGGGGGAGCCAAUGGGAAAGGGAGGCGUGGCAGCCUCAACGCCAGCGGACGAAGGACACCCCCAAACUGUGCUGCAGAGGACAUAAAAGCCAGCCCUUCCUCAACCAACAAAAGGAAGAACAAGCCCCCAAUGGAGUUGGAUCUGAACUCGAGCUCUGAGGACAGUAAGCCCGGGAAGCGAGUGCGCACGAAUUCCAGAAGCACGCCUACCACUCCUCAGGGGAAGCCAGAGACUACUUUUUUGGACCAAGGCUGCUCCUCUCCAGUGUUAAUUGAUUGUCCCCACCCAAACUGCAACAAAAAAUAUAAGCACAUAAACGGCCUGAGGUACCACCAGGCACAUGCGCACUUAGACCCGGAAAACAAACUAGAGUUCGAGCCGGAUAGCGAGGACAAGAUCUCAGACUGUGAGGAAGCCUUGAGCAACGUGGCCCUCGAAUGCAACGAGUCAAGCACAAGUGUGUCAUCAUACGAUCAGACGAAAGCACCUGGGUCCCCCGGGGCUGGGAACCCCCCUGGGACACCCAAGGGAAAGAGAGAGCACGUGAGCAAUGGCCCAGGUCCUAUUAUAGGUUCGAAAACUGGCAAGAAUUCUGGCAAGAAGAGGGGCCUUAACAACGAACUGAACAACCUUCCGGUCAUCUCCAACAUGACGGCCGCUUUAGACAUUUGUUCAGCCACAGACAGCAAUCUAACGGCGGAAAUGCCCAAAUUGGAAGCGGAAGGACUGAUUGACAAGAAAAGUUUGGGGGAUAAAGAAAAGGGCAAAAAAGCAAACAAUUGCAAAAUGGACAAAAACCUCUCCAAACUGAAAAGCGCCCGCCCCAUUGCCCCCGCCCCUGCCCCUACGCCCCCACAGCUGAUUGCUAUACCGACUGCAGCCUUCACAUCCACCACCACAGGGACCAUACCUGGACUGCCCUCCCUCACGACCACUGUGGUCCAGGCUACACCAAAGAGCCCUCCAUUGAAACCUAUUCAACCAAAGCCCACAAUUAUGGGGGAGCCCAUCACCGUGAACCCAGCUCUGGUGUCACUCAAAGACAGAAAGAAAAAGGAGAAGCGAAAGCUCAAGGACAAAGAAGGGAAAGAGACUGGAGGUCCCAAAAUGGAUGCUAAGCUGGGGAAGCUGGAGGAAGCCAAGGCGGCUAGCAAGGAUUUGUCUGGGCAUUUUUUAAAGGACCAUCUCGGUAAGAGCGAAGGGCUGGCUAAUGGAUUGUCAGAGUCUCAGGAGAGCCGCAUGGCCAGCAUCAAAGCCGAGGCCGAUAAGGUUUACACAUUCACGGACAAUGCCCCCAGCCCUUCCAUCGGGAGUGCCUCACGCAUGGAAUGCAGUACCUUGGUGAAUGGGCAAGCACCCAUGGCACCACUGCAUGUAUUGACCCAGAAUGGGGCUGAGAGCGCAGCAGCUAAGACCAGCAGUCCAGCCUAUUCGGACAUAUCAGAUGCUGCAGAUGAUGGCGGUUCUGACAGCAGGUCAGAGGGCAUGAGGUCAAAGGCCAGUUCCCCAUCGGAUACCUUUUCUAACAAAGACGGUGUUGUGAAAGGGCAUCCUUCAACUUCAGCACAGCCAUCUCAGCUGAAAGAGUCCCAUUCUCCCUAUUACCAUGGCUAUGAGCCUUACUAUUCUCCGAGUUACAUGCACCCUGGACAGGUUGGUGCCCCGGCAGCUGGGAAUGGUGGGAGCACACAGGGCAUGAAGAUCAAGAAGGAGUCAGAGGAAGAUGCGGAGAAGAAAGACAAGGCGGAACAGUUGGAGUCCAAGAAAGUAGACCAUACUUCUGCACCCCUGCAGCCUCAGCACCAGUCAGUCAUCACCCAGAGACACCCUGCCCUGGCUCAGUCACUUUAUUACGGCCAGUAUGCCUACGGGCUCUAUAUGGACCAGAAAUCUCUGAUGGCUACCAGCCCUGCCUACAGACAGCAGUAUGAGAAGUACUAUGAGGACCAGAGACUGGCAGAGCAGAAAAUGGCCCAGAGUGGGAGAGGAGACUGUGAAAGAAAGGCUGAACUCCCCUUGAAAGAACUGGGCAAGGAAGACAAUAAGCAGAAAAACAUGCCAUCAGCCACUAUCUCAAAAGCUCCCUCUACCCCGGAGCCUAACAAAAACCAUUCUAAACUAGGGCCAUCAGUGCCUAAUAAAACUGAGGAGACAGGAUCCAGAGUCAAGGACAUGGCACCAUUAUGUAUACCAGCCCAAGUACCUGGACCAACAAAAGCCAGAAGAACUUGACAGAGAAAAGAAAUUGAAAGAGGACAGUCCAAGGAAGACUCCUAACAAAGAGAGUGGCGUGUCCAGUCUCCCCGUGUCAUUAACAAACAUCAAAGAGGAGCCCAAAGAGGGCAAGCGUCCUGAUUCCCAGUCGGUGGAGGAGAACAAGCUAAAGAAUGAUGAUCGGAAGACACCGGUGAACUGGAAGGACUCUCGGGGGACACGAGUGGCCGUGUCCUCACCCAUGAGUCAGCACCAGUCCUACAUACAAUACUUGCAUGCUUAUCCUUACCCACAGAUGUAUGACCCCAGCCACCCUGCAUACCGGGCUGUCUCUCCUGUCUUAAUGCACAGUUACCCUGGGGCCUAUCUCUCUCCAGGAUUUCAUUAUCCUGUUUAUGGAAAGAUGUCUGGGAGAGAAGAGGCAGAGAAAGUCAAUACUAGUCCCAGCAUCAACACAAAAACAGCCAGCGAAGCCAAAGCCCUGGACCUACUCCAACAUCACGCCAACCAAUACCGCAGCAAGUCCCCUGCUCCUGUGGAGAAGGCUUCCACGGAGCGAGAACGGGAAGCAGAGCGGGAACGGGAUCGCCACUCCCCCUUCAGCCAGCGGCACCUGCACACACACCACCACACCCAUGUUGGCAUGGGCUACCCUCUCAUCCCUGGUCAAUACGACCCUUUUCAAGGCUUGACCUCUGCUGCCCUAGUUGCCUCUCAGCAGGUGGCUGCCCAGGCAUCUGCUUCUGGAAUGUUUCCUGCACAGAGAAGAGAAUAACAGAAUCGGAAGUGUCCGGUGCCAUGUGACUGGAUCACAUGGGGAAGCGCUUUAUAUAGACAUCAGUUCCAUGGUGUUAAUUUGAAAUGCCUUAAUGGCAGGCAAAAAACCAGUCAUUUCAUUUUGUAAAUUACAGAUUUUAUCACAGAGUAACAAAUGUUGCUGUAAUUAAACUUCUGUUUUAUAUAUAUGUAUAUAUAUACGUAUACAUAUCUGUAUAUAUACAUAUAUAUAUAUACAUAUAUAUAUAUAUAUUCUUUACUUUUUUGUAACAGUAACCAGGCUCGCACACACAGGGUCUGCUGCCAAGUUGCAAACCACUCAGUAAAGGAAAUUAAAAAAGAAAAAAAAAUGUAUUUGUCAUGUUGAAAGUGUUAGCCACAACAGGCUGCUUACAUUCUUUUCCUUUUAAAUUGUAAAUAAAUAAUGUUCUGUAUCAGUGUGCCUGAACCUUGCAUAUCCUUCAUCUCUCUCCCAUAAAACCCCUCAGAAAGGCCAACUGUGAUGAUGACACUUGGUACAAUUUAGAUGUCUAAUUGGUGGCUCCUCUUAAAGAUGCAUCAGUGUAAAAAAUGUCCCCGUGGUCACUCUUUGUACUUGUUUAUUGUGGAAAUAAAUACUUUUGGAAGGCAUGGGGUUGCCAGAACCACAAAAACUGUGUUGUAUAUAUAAUGUAAAAAUUAAGAUGGGGAAAUAAUGAGCAUCUGUGAAUAAUGAGGUGUCAUUUUUUUUUGAUAAUCUUGAAUGGCAGAUAACCCAAUAGCCUGCAUACCAGAGACAUCUGCGAUCUCUCUCUUACUUGAAUAGCCCUGCAGUCUUCUUUUUUUUUUUCCUUUUUUUUUCUUUAAUGUUUACAAUUAUCCAGUUUUAGAAGAGAAGGAUUUUAACGCCAUUGCCUGGUUACUUGUUUUAUGCUGUAAUCUAGUUUAUUUUAUGUAAAAUGUAUAUUGAAUGCUUUCCUUUUUAUACCUGCCUUAAAUAAUUUGGCAAUCAGAAUUAAAAAGGUUUUGUUUUGUUUUUUUUUUAAUAA